rnacentral:rRNA from 1 species
ACGGUGGGGCGCUAGGUGUAGGGGGCUUCCACGUCUUCUGUGCCGUAGCUAACGCAUUAAGCGCCCCGCCUGGGGAGUACGGCCGCAAGGCUAAAACUCAAAGGAAUUGACGGGGGCCCGCACAAGCGGCGGAGCAUGUGGAUUAAUUCGAUGCAACGCGAAGAACCUUACCUGGGCUUGACAUAUACAAGACAGGCGUAGAGAUACGUCCUCCCUUGUGGUUUGUAUACAGGUGGUGCAUGGUUGUCGUCAGCUCGUGUCGUGAGAUGUUGGGUUAAGUCCCGCAACGAGCGCAACCCUUGUCUUAUGUUGCCAGCAUUUGGUUGGGGACUCAUGAGAGACUGCCGGGGUCAACUCGGAGGAAGGUGGGGAUGACGUCAAAUCAUCAUGCCCCUUAUGUCCAGGGCUUCACACAUGCUACAAUGGUCGGUACAACGCGCAGCGACACUGUGAGGUGGAGCGAAUCGCUGAAAGCCGGCCUUAGUUCGGAUUGGGGUCUGCAACUCGACCCCAUGAAGUCGGAGUCGCUAGUAAUCGCAGAUCAGCAACGCUGCGGUGAAUACGUUCCCGGGCCUUGUACACACCGCCCGUCGCGUCAUGAAAGUUGGUAACACCCGAAGCCAGUGGCUCAAACUCGUUAGGGAGCUGUCGAAGGUGGGAUCGGCGAUUGGGACGAAGUCGUAACAGGGUAGCCGUA